CCAAAAUGGCCCUGAUUUGGGACCCAGGUUGGUUUGUAUUGUGCAAUCCGAAAUCAAAACAACUUCGGAAGAUGAGAACCGAACCGCAGAAGCAGAUAACUGAAACCCAGAAAACAUCAAACGCUCUCCAUCUUCUUCUCCGCCGCAGCCUCGUCGGAAAUGCAGCUGCACCGCCGCACCAUCUUCUUCUUCUCAGCCGCAAACCCACUAAAAACUAGUUAGUAUCUUAAAUCUUCAUGGAUUUGCUUUUGAUUUUUAAUUGUGAGUUUAUUUGGUUCUGAAGAUACGAUCCGAAAAUGCCUAAGUUCGGGCGAUGCAAUCCGAAUUCGCAUAGGUUCGGCAGCUGCGAUCCGAAUUGAAGCAGAGUUGUUCCAUCAAUUCAGUUUUGUGAGUAAGCAACAUUAACAGAGCACAAUCUUUUGAUGUGUUCUCUUCUUGCGAGGUCUCUGCACAAGCAAGUAAAAAUCUUGAUUCAUGGAGGCUCCAGAAGUUUUGAUUGUGUUUCCAGGUGUAUUCUUCUUGUUGUUCCUUCAUUUUGGCUUGUUACUACGUUGAAGAAGAAGAAGAAGAAGCAUACCAUCUGUGUUUUGCAAAUUAGGUGAAGAAGCAUAAUUAAUGAAUUUCCUUCAAAACGUGCAAAUUAGGUGAAGAAGCUAUGCGUGUUGGCUGUUAUUGGUGUAGCAGGUUUUUGUUGUAGCUGGUUUGGUUGUUAUAAAAGUUUGUUUUGCGAGACAAAAAACACCCUUACCUAGAUGCUACCUUGCAUUACAUGUCAAUAUUACAAGAAAUCAACCAGGGAACUUGCUAGAUUAGGGCCAAAAAAGCAAGAAUUGUGUAUAAGAUUCAAUAUCAUACAGCUAUAUCACUAACGUGGUAAUUCAACUAUAGCUACUAAACACUAAUUGACAACUAUUGCAAUAUCUUCACAAUUCCCGGUAAAUCAAUUAAAUUAUUGACAAAAUAACAAUAGUUGCAACUAAGUUUGAAAGAUUAGAGUCUGAUAUAAAAACAAAGGUAUUUGGUGGAUGUCUAGUUCGGUUCCUACAUACCAAAAUUAAUUAAAUUCGGUUGCUAUGUUCCAAAACAGGCUAAGGGUAAUUUGGUCGGAACGGGGGGCCUACGAGCAAUAUAGGGGGCCAGAAAAGCAAUUUUCCUAAAAUUAGGGUCUAGCCGAACAGCCCAAAGUCAGCCAGCCCACACAACAAUAGAAGGAAAGCGCGAUUCCACAAACCCUUUCUUUCAUCUUUCUUCUACCAUUUCGCUUUCUCCUUACUCUAACUCUCACUUUUUUUGAUCAAUGUUCACCAAAGUGUAGUUUUUUCUUUUCCGCCAUUACUCUAGUUUACUGUUAUUUCAACUCAGUUUUAUGGUUGUUUACAAUCUGUGCUUUAUUUCUUAUUUUGUUUCUGUUUUUUGUGACCCAUUUUUUGUGAUAUCUUACAUGAAUGAUAAUGCAUGUACUGUGUGCUAUGAUCAAAUCAGGUUUUAGAUUUUCUGCAUUAUUAUUAAAGGAAAUGUAUUUCACAUCCUAAAAUGCUUCAUUCCAAUGUUGAUACCAUGAUUUAGGGUUUUCAGUAAUAUUUGAUUUGACACACAUAAAUAAGAGCAUGAUUUUUUUUUCUCUUUCGAUUAUUACUUGAUUUGUCCAUUUGGAAAAAGUAGUGUUGUUAGUUGUUACAUUUUUUAGAAAAACAAAGCAGUGUUGUAUCAAUCCUGUUUAUUAAUUUCUGCAACUAAGUGGUUGAUUUCAAGUGGUUAAUGAGCUCGCAAAUCAUUCGGGACUCGAGUUUCAUUCAUGAGUAGAAUUAUUUUUGGCCCCAUUUCCCUUAGAACCGCGUAAUUUUGUUUGGGUCAUGUUAACUAAUGCCCCCAUUUCCUUCAAUUUCCCUAAUCCCUAUGAGUUAUGAGGGUUUUGUGUUUCCUUUUUGCUUACGAAAUUCAUUCUAUAUAACAUGUUGUCAUUGCAAUAGGUGUUUCUGUUCUGCUUAAGAAAUCUAUACUUUAUAACAUUAAUAUUCUGUGGAAGAAACUCAAAUAUCUAUAGUGCAUUGGCCCGGAGACAGCCGUAAAGUAGUAUAAUAUGUUACAUUUAGUGUCAAUGCAUCUCGUGGAUUGUAAAUGGUUAUCUGCAAAAUCUUCUUAUAGCAGCAGGCUCGGCUGUCGAGUGUUUUUCACUGUCUUAAGUUAGGUAUUGGCCCUGUCUUAUCAUCUAUUUGAACCUUAUGUCUAUCAAUCCCUUUGCUCAACAAAAGGACAGAAAUGAACACUAUGAGUAUGCUAUUUGCUUUUAAUGACAAAGGUCUGAUAUUGCAUUUUUAUUUCUGGGUAGAAUCACAGCUUUCUAUUUACUAUAUCUUUUUAUUUACUUGAUUUUCCAAUGUAUUUGUUUUCACAACCCUUCAAUUUUUCACUUUUCAUAUCUUUUGGUUUUGCUUUUCAAUUGACGACUGCCUUUUAUGCUUACUCAUUUUCCGCUGCAUAAAUUUCCUAAUGUGUCUUCUCGAUAUGCCCAAUGAUGAUAUGAUCCUCUGCAUAAUAUUCAAAGUCUUUCCGUCCCGUCUGCCUUUCUUCACACUGCCAUCACUAUUGACUUCUUUUUCUUCUUCUUCUUUAACUCUGUCGUUGCCAUCAACUUCAUCAUCGUCGUCAUUAUUAUUAAUUAUUAUUAUUAUUAUUUCAAUUUUCAUAGUGACAGUGGGCUGAGAUGGCGGAGGUUGUGCUCUGUGUGCACUGCCUUGAUGGAUGUUGAGAGGCUUUCAUGGAUGUUGAAAACCUACACAUCUAACAAUAUCUGAGGGCAAAGUAACCAUUUUGCGUUUGGAUAAUCUUGUCAAUUGCUUCGUUUGUUCACUUAUUUUAUAUGUUUUCUUCAGGACUCUAGCUACCUGUCUUUGCCCUAGUUGAGGAGAGAUGGUGAGAAGUUUAGGUGUUCUUUUCUGUCGAGUGUCUACUGAUUUAUCUAAUUUACUUUCUCCUUCGUUUUUGCAGGUUGAUUUGUCAUAAUCGGCGAUUCACUUAUUUUCACUUGUAAGGGAACUAUAGUAGUAUAGUUGACCUAUUUAUUGUUUAGGAUGCUAAUGUUAUUUUUAACAGUUGAUUUCAGUUAAACUUGGAUGAGAUAUAGUUUAACUUUGAAUUUAGUGUUUCAUAUUCACUCGUGGCUCCCUCUAUGGUUGUCAAUCUAGGGUUCUCAUUUGUGCUUAAUAGAUUUUUCUUGACAGUUUAAAUUUAGAUAUCAUAUUACUUAUGAUUGUAUUAUCGCACUUGUGUUUCAAUAAUUACUUGGUUCUUUGCUGUUUUAUUGUCAUCAUCAAAUUCGACCAAUAUUUCUUUAUCUUAAACUAUUGAAUAGCUCUCAAUUUUCACUUAGUGUAGAUUUUUUUACCAUCAAAUUGAACUAAUUUUACUUGCCUUGGGACAAAUUUGCAUAUAAUUUCUUCUGGAUAAGCCCGAUGACGAGUUUUCAAUGCUACUAACUAUGCUUUUCCUUCCAUUUCCUACUUUCUCCCCACUGUCAUCACUACUAACUAUGCUGCUUCUACUGUUGUUGUUGUUGUUGUUGUUGUUCUUGUGUUUCUUCUUCUUCUUCUUCUUCUUCUUCUUCUUCUUCUUCACCUUAUACUUCUUUUUCUUCUUCGUCUUCUCAUUAUCAUUGUUGUUAGUAUACAAUUACUGACAGUGGGUAGAGAUAGUAGAGGUCGUGUGUGGUUCUUUCAUUUUGCACUGCCUUGAUGGAUGGCGAGAGGCUUGUAUGGAUGUUGAAAAAAUACUAACCUAAUACCAUCUGAGGGCACAUUUAUCUAGCUUGUUUUUGAAAAGUUUUUUUUGAAUGAUUUCUAUUUGAAAUUUUUGUUUGAGAUGUUAAUUUCAUGAAUCAUGACCAUUCUUCCCGUUCUAUCAGGUAGGUAUCUGUUUGUCUCUUGAUUCAUAUGUCAUUUAAAUUUCUGUUUUAUCUCAUCUUCCUUUAGGUAUUUGUUUGGCUUUAUUGAUGUUGAAAACGUCUAACCUAAUACCAUCUGAGGGCACGUUUUUCUAUAUUGUUUUUGAAAGUUUUUUUCAAUGAUUUCUAUUUGAAUUUUCUUGUUUGAUAUGUUAAUAUCAUGAAUCUUGACCAUAUGUCAUUUAAAUUUCUGUUUUAUCUCAUCUUCCUUUUUGUAUUAUUUUAAUUUAAUUACUCAUAAUCCGUAGCAGAUUGGUUUUAACCAAUCUACCUUACCUACUGUUUUUAAUCCUUCUAUCUUUAUACAUGAAUAAAAGAAACAACUGUCAUCCCCUCCUAAAUUUAGACACAUAUGAAAAUGAUUGACCGUUAAAAUACAGUGACCAUGUAAAUCUGUAAGAAGAUGAAGUUCCUGGGAAUGCUGUUACGCUUUAUUCCUCUGCCCAAGGCUGGUUUAAAUAGAGAGGAUACAGUUAGUUCUCUUCUUGAACUAAGGAGAAAAUAGUUACAAAGGAAAAUAAAAGGAAACAAUAGAAAUAUCUAGAAUCGCCUAGAAACUUUUAGUACUUCACAUAUGUAGUUAUAUAUGCUUACGUUCUUAAUUACAUGUAUAUUACUUCAUACAUACUGUUCAAUUUAUUAACCUCUGAAAACUAUAUAUAGCAUUAUAAAUUUGAUUCUCGAAGAUCCCUGUCUACUGUUUUAAAUAAGUAGUGUUAUAUAAACCCCAUUAGCUAAUUUGUUUUUCUGUUUCCUAUUGUUCUGUUAUUAUUUUUCGUUUAUCUUUGAAGUAAUUAGUGAAAAUUUAGCAAGAUUUUUUCUAUGAUGCCCAAUGAUGUAAAAAUUAACUAUUGACCGGCUACAUGGGUUUGUUCAUAACUCUACUUGCACCUCUCUGUCUCUCUCUCUCACUCACUUACUCACUCAUUGUGUGUGUGUAUGUAUAUAUAUGUAUGAUCAUGAUCUUUCUCUCUCCUUUCUCUCUCUCUCUGGAUAUAUCUAUCUAUCUAUCUAUUAUGAUGCAAGGAAGUUGUGAAUGAAGCCAUGUAAAUGCCGUAGAUGAUAUUGUUUAGGUAUGAGUUCUGAGGGCUGUGUUUCCUUUUUUCUGUCAAUUCAGCUAAGUGACAGUUUUUGCAAAAAGGGGUUUCUGCUAUGCUUAAGAAAGCCAUACUAUUUUGUCACUUGUGUUUUAAUUAUUAUUUGGUUUUUUGCUGUUUUAUUGUCAUCAUCAAAUUCAACCAAAUUUUGUUUAUCUUAAACUAUUGAAUGGCUCUCAAUUUUCAGUGUAGAUUUCCUUAUCCAUUAAAGAGAACUGAUUUUACUUGUUCAAUUUUCCUAGGGAUAAAUUUGGAUAUAAUUUCUUACGGAUAUGUCCUAUGAUGAAUCUUCAUUGCUAGAAAUGUUACUCUGAAUAUCAUUCAUAGCUUUUCCAUCCAUUCUGCCUUUAUCCCCACUGUCAACACUACUAACUAUGCUGUUGCUGCUGCUGCUGCUGCUGUACUUCUUUUUCUUUUUCGUCUUCUGGUUUUUAUUGUUGUUAUUGCUACUACUGAUAGUGAGGUAGAGACGGUAGAGGUUGUGCGUAGUUUUCUCUUCCGUGCACUGCCUUGAUGGAUGGCGAGAGGCUUUUAUAGAUGUUCAAAAAGUACCAACCUCUAACAUCUGAGGGCACAGUGGCUAUCUUGUGUUUGAAUAACUUUUUCAACGAUUUCUUUUUUUAAAUUUUUGUUUGAUAUGUUAAUUUCAUGAAUCAUAACCAUCAUCCUUUCAAUUCUAUCAGGCAGGUAUCUGUUUGUCUUGAUCCAGAUGUGAUUUAAAUUUCUGUUUUGUCUCAUCUUCCUUUGUGUAUUAAUUUAAUAAUUCAUGAUUUGUAGCUGAUUUGUAUUUACCAAUCUUCCUUACAAACUGUUUGUUUUUAAUCCUUCUAUCUUUUCAAAUGAAGAAAAGAAGCAACCAUCAUUCCCUCCUAAAUUUACAUGCAUAUUACAUUUAUUGACUGUAAAAAUAAAUGUGACCAUGCAAGUCCCUGGGAUUUAUUUUCGUAGAUACAAUGCUAAGUUACUAUUUUUUUUUUCAUUUCUGAUUACCCAGUUUAUCUAUGUCCAACAUAUAGUGUUAAUUCCACAGUUUAUAUAUUAUUAUUAUUAUUAUUAUGGAUUCUGUGUUUUUGCUUGAUAUAAAGUCCAAAAGUUUAAAUAGAUAAUCGAACCCAAAAUCACAAAUUACUCUUUUAGCUGAAAUAGUGAAUAUGUAGCAAGUUGUUUUUUAUGCUGCCAAUGAUGUAAAAAUGGACUAUUGAGCUGUUACAUGGUUUUGUCCACAACUUGACCUGCACCAUUACUAUAACUCUUGAUUCUGUUAGAAGGUGCAAGAAGGUUGUGAAUGAAACUAGUUUCAAAAGCAGCAAAUGAUUUCUAUUUCGCUAUCUGAGGGCUUUGCAUUUAUUUUUUCUGGCAAUCUUAUAGGACUUAUAUGCUUACAUUCUUAGUUACAUUUAUAUCAUUUCAUAGUACUGUUUAAUUUAUUAACAUCUGAAAAUUGUAUAUAGCAUUAUAAAUUGGGUCUUGCUAACAUGUGCCCUAAGGGCAUAUAUUAAGGAAACCAAAAGUAGUAUUUUGAAUUUUAAAAAAUUUAAUGCACGACUUUUAAGAUGAAUAUUUCUAUAUUACGUUCUUUAACAUGUGCCCUUAGGGCACAUAUUAGCUUUUUCCUUAUAAAUUUGAUACUCAGGACUCUGAUUGCUGUUGUUUUAAAUAAUCAGGGCAAGCUCCUAGGAGAAUAUGAUCAUAUGAUGCAUGCCAUAGAAAAUUGAGUAUGUUGACAAGUAAGCUGUUCUGUUUCCCUCUUUGCGAUGUCUGCGCAAGACAAUUUACUUAAAUAUCUGGAAUUCCUGAUUUGUUUUAUUGGCUGUUACGGUAACAGCCUUUAGGAUCUUAUGGGCAAUCAAGGAGAGUUUGCCCUUUGCAUAACUUUUAGAUUCUUUCUACCUUCAUAAUGUUUGGUUUUUUAUAUUUGUUAUUUUUAGAUUUUGUUUGAUACCUUAUGAGCAAUCAAGUAGUAUUAUCUGAAUUUUAAUGCUUGUUGACAAUUAUAAAUUAUAAAUACUAGGGUACUAAGCAUUUGUGAGGGAAUUCUAUCACACUGAGAAGUAAUGACCAGUACAAUGUUGCAUAAACUGUUUUUGGUCUAGUGGUAAAAAAAUAGGUCUUGGAGCCCCUUUAGUGUGCCCUUGGUCGGAGGCAAACGUAAAAACUGUUUUUUGAGUCAUAAGAUCUUCUCUGCCUAAAUUGAGGCAUGGUCCUCUCACCAUAAUGACUGGUCCUGUGAAUUAAGCUUUUUCUUGGUUUUUCCCUUGAUUGUUUGUACCUGUUUUAACGAUUAACGGUUUGGUUUGUACUUUUACACUUUGAAACUUUUGUAUCUAACUUAAACUGCUUUUCUCCUUUUCUUCUUAUGACAAUGACAAUAAAUCUCCUUGAUUCAUGCUAUCAAUUUCAAAUCUUUUCAAUUGAGUGCUUCAACUUUGGAAUCCUUCAAAGGUCAAGGUCAAUAUGCUUGUUAAGAAAGUGAUGGUAAAAUUGAAUCAUGCUGUCUUGUUGGGGAACUAUAGGGAAUAGGUCUGGUGGUGUUGGUUUUCUAUAGGAAACAAUCAAUUGAUGGGCCCUCCUUGAAGACCUCUGUAUGUUUUUGAUAUAUCUUAUGGAAGAAUAGUCAAAAAAUCCAUACUCCUGA